rnacentral:rRNA from 1 species
UACGUGGGGUGUAAGCGUUAAUCGGAUUCAUUGGGCGUAAAGGGCGCGUAGGCGGGGAUGAAAGUCAGAUGUGAAAUCCCGGAGCUCAACUCCGGAACGGCAUCUGAAACUUCAUCUCUAGAGGGUAGGGGGAGAAAAGGGAAUUCCACGUGUAGCGGUGAAAUGCGUAGAUAUGUGGAAGAACACCGGUGGCGAAGGCGCUUUUCUAACUUACUCCUGACGCUGAGGCGCGAAAGCAAGGGGAGCAAAC